rnacentral:rRNA from 1 species
AUAGCGUAUAUUAAAGUUGUUGCAGUUAAAAAGCUCGUAGUUGAACUUCAGACCUGGCUGGGCGGUCAGCUUAUCGGCGUGUACUGUCUUGCUGGGCCUUACUUCUUGGGGAGCUGGUGUGCCCUUUAUUGGGUGCGUCGGUGAACCAGGACCUUUACCUUGAGAAAAUUAGAGUGUUCAAAGCAGGCCUAUGCCCGAAUACAUUAGCAUGGAAUAAUAAAAUAGGACGUGCGGUUCUAUUUUGUUGGUUUCUAGAGUCGCCGUAAUGAUUAAUAGGGAUAGUUGGGGGCAUUGGUAUUGAGUCGCUAGAGGUGAAAUUCUUGGAUUGACUCAAGACCAACUAUUG